AUUAUUUCUAUUAUCAACCAGGAUUCAAGACUUCUUCAUUUCAAGUACUAAACUGAACAUGGAUUAAAAUUCAUCACUGAGAGCAAAGAACAAAAUACAGAAAAACUUUAAUUGUAUUGAUUAACAAGCAGCAGUGAGUGAGACAGAAGGAAUUUCACAUCAAGAUUUGCUUCCAAAGAAAAUGUUCUGGAGAGACCAUGUGAGGCUCAUUGUGUUAACAUUUUCACUGUUGGCUUGCCAUUUUAGAAGAGCAAGAACACAGGAACAAUCUGCAGCCAUUACCAGAAUCAGCUUACAUGCAACAGCUAAGCCUCAAGGAGAAAAUGAUAGCAUAGCCAUGGAUACAUUGCUAAAAAUCAAUGGGAGCACCA